UUUGUAGUUCUGGCUGGUGAGGUAGAAGGGAGUAUAUCAAAUACCUGUUCUGUUCAGUUCUUACUGAUUAUUUGUUAAUCAGAGAAAAACUUGUAUUAAGUGCUUACCAGUUCUAUAUUAGGAGUGACUGUGUUUAAACACUGUAGUUAAAAGCUGAAGCCUGCAAAUGCAGGAAAUAAAACGUUUAAAAUAUACUUAAAAUACUGAUUGAAUGGAUGUCUGGUUUGGGUAAAAGAAUAUAAAUUAUCUGCUACUUUAAAGAACUCAGUAUCUUUAAAUAACUUAAAACUGCCUUUUCAAUUUCCAGCAUGUAUAGAAAAUAUGAUUCGACUAGAAUAAAGACUGAAGAAGAAGGCUUUUCAAGUAAAAGGUGCUUGGAAUGGUUCUAUGAAUAUGCAGGAACUGAUGAUGUUGUAGGCCCUGAAGGCAUGGAGAAAUUUUGUGAAGACAUUGGUGUUGAACCAGAAAACGUAGUUAUGCUUGUCCUAGCUUGGAAAUUGGAUGCACAAAACAUGGGUUAUUUUACUCUACAGGAGUGGUUAAAAGGAAUGACUUCUCUCCA
rnacentral:sRNA from 1 species